GACGAACGCUGGCGGCGUGCCUAAUACAUGCAAGUCGAACGAACCGCGACUAGGUGCUUGCACUUGGUCAAGGUGAGUGGCGAACGGGUGAGUAACACGUGGGUAACCUACCUCAUAGUGGGGGAUAACAGUCGGAAACGACUGCUAAUACCGCAUAGGACAUAGGAUCACAUGAUCCAGUGAGGAAAGGUGGCGCAAGCUAUCGCUAAGAGAUGGACCCGCGGUGCAUUAGCUAGUUGGUAGGGUAAAGGCCUACCAAGGCGAUGAUGCAUAGCCGACCUGAGAGGGUGAUCGGCCACAUUGGGACUGAGACACGGCCCAAACUCCUACGGGAGGCAGCAGUGGGGAAUCUUCCGCAAUGGACGCAAGUCUGACGGAGCAACGCCGCGUGAGUGAAGAAGGUCUUCGGAUCGUAAAGCUCUGUUGUUAGAGAAGAACAGCGCAUAGAGUAACUGUUAUGCGUGUGACGGUAUCUAACCAGAAAGCCACGGCUAACUACGU
rnacentral:rRNA from 1 species